rnacentral:ribozyme from 1 species
AGCAAUACCUCGCAUAUACGGGGGUCGAUCCGAUACCUCUAGAGCAAUACCUCUCCAUCCCCUAUUCCUACUCAAUACGUUCCCGUCGUACAGAAUGGUAACUUCGGCAGAUCCUCUAGAA